CUUUCCCUCUUUCUUUCUGCCUAACACAUGCAAGUCGAACGGCAGCACAGUAAGAGCUUGCUCUUACGGGUGGCGAGUGGCGGACGGGUGAGGAAUACAUCGGAAUCUACUUUUUCGUGGGGGAUAACGUAGGGAAACUUACGCUAAUACCGCAUACGACCUACGGGUGAAAGCAGGGGAUCUUCGGACCUUGCGCGAUUGAAUGAGCCGAUGUCGGAUUAGCUAGUUGGCGGGGUAAAGGCCCACCAAGGCGACGAUCCGUAGCUGGUCUGAGAGGAUGAUCAGCCACACUGGAACUGAGACACGGUCCAGACUCCUACGGGAGGCAGCAGUGGGGAAUAUUGGACAAUGGGCGCAAGCCUGAUCCAGCCAUACCGCGUGGGUGAAGAAGGCCUUCGGGUUGUAAAGCCCUUUUGUUGGGAAAGAAAAGCAGCAGGUUAAUACCCCGCUGUUCUGGCGGUACCCAAAGAAUAAGCACCGGCUAACUUCGUG
rnacentral:rRNA from 1 species